rnacentral:rRNA from 1 species
UUGAACGCUGGCGGCAUGCUUUACACAUGCAAGUCGAACGGCAGCACGGGUGCUUGCACCUGGUGGCGAGUGGCGAACGGGUGAGUAAUGCAUCGGAACGUGCCCAUGAGUGGGGGAUAGCCCGGCGAAAGCCGGAUUAAUACCGCAUACGCCCUUAGGGGGAAAGCGGGGGAUCUUCGGACCUCGCGCUAUUGGAGCGGCCGAUGUCGGAUUAGCUAGUAGGUGAGGUAAAGGCUCACCUAGGCGACGAUCCGUAGCUGGUCUGAGAGGAUGAUCAGCCACACUGGGACUGAGACACGGCCCAGACUCCUACGGGAGGCAGCAGUGGGGAAUUUUGGACAAUGGGCGCAAGCCUGAUCCAGCCAUGCCGCGUGAGUGAAGAAGGCCUUCGGGUUGUAAAGCUCUUUCAGGUGGAAAGAAAUAGCGCUGUUUAAUAGAUGGCGUUGAUGACGGUACCACCAGAAGAAGCACCGGCUAACUACGUG